rnacentral:rRNA from 1 species
CCUACGGGAGGCAGCAGUAGGGAAUCUUCCACAAUGGGCGAAAGCCUGAUGGAGCAACGCCGCGUGAGUGAAGAAGGUUUUCGGAUCGUAAAGCUCUGUUGUUGGUGAAGAAGGAUAGAGGUAGUAACUGGCCCCUAUUUGACGGUAAUCAACCAGAAAGUCACGGCUAACUACGUGCCAGCAGCCGCGGUAAU